ACCCAACAACCACAUCCCUCCUCAGAAGAAGCCCCCAGAGCACAGCUCCUCACCAUGGACUGGACCUGGAGGAUCCUCUUUUUGGUGGCAGCAGCCACAGGUGCCCACUCCCAGGUCCAACUGGUGUAGUCUGGAGCUGAGGUGAAGAAGCCUGGGGCCUCAGUGAAGGUCUCCUGCAAGGCUUCUGGAUACACCUUCACCGACUACUUUAUGAACUGGAUGCGCCAGGCCCCUGGACAAAGGCUUGAGUGGAUGGGAUGGAUCAACGCUGGCAAUGGUAACACAAAAUAUUCACAGAAGCUCCAGGGCAGAGUCACCAUUACCAGGGACACAUCUUCGAGCACAGCCUACAUGCAGCUGAGCAGCCUGAGAUCUGAGGACACGGCCGUGUAUUACUGUGCGAGAGACACAGAGUGAAAACCCACAUCCUGAGAGUGUCAGAAACCCCAGGGAGGAAGCAGCUGUACUGGCAUGGAGGAAAUGACAAAGAUUAUUAGAUUGAAGACUUUCUCAGAAAAUGACAUUAAGUCAUUAAGGAAAAGAAACAAUAUAAAUGUGUACUUGAGAAAUUUUAAUUACUUGAGAGAUUUUUCAUACAAUAUUUAUUCUGCAAGCAAAUUUCAGGGAUUGAAUUAAUAAAACUGAUACAGAACUUCC